rnacentral:rRNA from 1 species
AUACGUAGGUGGCAAGCGUUGUCCGGAAUUAUUGGGCGUAAAGCGCGCGCAGGUGGUUCCUUAAGUCUGAUGUGAAAGCCCCCGGCUCAACCGGGGAGGGUCAUUGGAAACUGGGGAACUUGAGUGCAGAAGAGGAUAGUGGAAUUCCAAGUGUAGCGGUGAAAUGCGUAGAGAUUUGGAGGAACACCAGUGGCGAAGGCGACUGUCUGGUCUGUAACUGACACUGAGGCGCGAAAGCGUGGGGAGCAAACAGGAUUAGAUACCCUGGUAGUCCACGCCGUAAACGAUGAGUGCUAAGUGUUGGGGGGUUUCCGCCCCUCAGUGCUGCAGCUAACGCAUUAAGCACUCCGCCUGGGGAGUACGGUCGCAAGACUGAAACUCAAAUGAAUGGGCGGGG